rnacentral:tRNA from 1 species
GCACCCAUGGGGUAAUGGCAACCUACCUCCUUGCCAUGGAGGCGACGCGGGUUCAAGUCCCGCUGGGUGCU